rnacentral:rRNA from 1 species
CCUACGGGUGGCUGCAGUCAAGAAUAUUCCACAAUGGGGGAAACCCUGAUGGAGCGACGCCGCGUGUAGGAUGAAGGUCUUCGGAUUGUAAACUACUUUUCUAAGGGACGAAGCUUCGGCUGACGGUACCUUGGGAAUAAGAGGUUGCUAACUCUGUGCCAGCAGCAGCGGUAAUACAGAGACCUCAAGCGUUAUCCGGAUUUAUUGGGCGUAAAGCGUGCGCAGUCGGUUCGUUAAGUCUCUCGUCAAAUCUCUGGGCUCAACCCAGGGGCUGCGGGGGAUACUGGCGAGCUCGAGGAUGGGAGAGGCAAGCGGAAUUACCGGUGUAGUAGUAAAAUGCGUUAAUAUCGGUAAGAACACCAAAGGCGAAGGCAGCUUGCUGGAACAUUCCUGACGAUAAAGCACGAAAGCGUGGGGAGCGAAGCGGAUUAGAUACCCUU